rnacentral:tRNA from 1 species
GACCAUGGCUCAGCUGGUUGCAUCCAAAAGUGAGCAUUAGCGAGCUUUCAGAUGCCGAAGAAGAGCAAAUGACUCUUAAUCAUUGGGUCGAGGGUUCGAGCCCCUCCGGGGUCA